ACGGCAUGAUGGGGACAUAUUCGAAUGAGGUCCUUUAAUCUUUCUUAUGACUCAUGGAACCGCUCACCAUCUUGCUGUGAGAAGCUAGUGAGAUCUCGUCUUAUCU
rnacentral:snoRNA from 1 species